CACCACAGUAGCUAUGGGGGUCUAUUUAGUCCAUCGAUCAAUUGUCGUUGCUGACGCCGUGCCAACGACGUCGAAGAGCUCGACGCGCACCACUCUGCCAACACCUGCACUCAAGCAAACACCACGUGCUUCCUUUGAAGAUCCACUGUCGUCCUUUAACUGUGAUGCACCGUUUUCUGGCUACGACUGUCAUGCCUGGUUAGACCUGCAGCAGCAGAAUAAACAGUCCCUGCAGGACAGAGUAGAUGGUGUGCCAUCCGCAUAGAGAUCCUUCUCCAUCGCUAUUCUUCAGCGCAUUAGUCUUGAGUGACUGUCCAUGUCUGCAGAUGUGUCCUUGGUCGAUGACCUCCUGCUGACGAAAAAAGAUGAUGAGGUGGCAUCUGGAGCGGGAGCGGUAGGAAACGGGUUUUGCAUUAGGAGCAGAAGACGACGGCUGAGCAGGAUCUUGAGCAAUGUCUACUCGCAGCUCAGCAACGUCACGCCUUGCCACGAAGGCGAAGCCAAUGAGGACUAUCUCAAGCACAUCUUUGCCAUAGUCGACUCAGAGGACAGGGGGUAAGUGUCGAGCAUUCAGCUAGCGAGCAUGCUCUUCAACGAUGCGAGCCGCGCCUCUGCCGCGAUGAUGAUGGCCGCGGCCGAUCACGACAAGGACGGUUACCUUAGCGAAAGCGACGUCGUCUCCUCCUUCAUUCACGUGGAAAGUGGGGUAGGCCUCUUGCAGGCGGAUUGCAAUGAGUCAAAGCUGGCCAAGUUGGGCUCCAGCAGCGAGAGCGACGACGCUGUUCUUGGCUCCCUCGCUAGUCUCUCCACUCAGGAAAAAUCACAGAAAGACGCUCAUCUCCUGAAGGCCCUCAGCAAAAUUCGUAUGCGCGGCGUCGAGGUGACGAACCUGUGUAGCCAGUCGAACAGGGCCAAGUGCGUCGCUAUCUCACCCGAUGGCAACCUGUACGCUGUGGUGCACCGGCACGACAAUGUCGCGCAUGUGUACAUGAUCAGCAACGGCACCGAGGUGCGUCGGCUUGUGGGUCACCAAGGGUCGCUGCUAGGCAUUCUCUUCUCUCCCGAUCGAAAGCACGUUGUGACAGCAGCGCGACAACUUCAUGGUCUUCUGGGAUCACACGAUCGGACAGGAGUGCCGCUUCUCCGAGCACCCGGGAAUCGUCACGGCAGCUGCGGUGAGCUUCGACGGCAAGUUUGUCUUCGGCGGUUGUCAGGAUGACCUUGUUCAGAAAUUCACUGCCUCCAAAGCCAAGAUACGCGCAGUGUUGUCAGACAUCCCGUGUGAAGUCCAUGGCGUCAUUGUAGCUCUCGCGACGCAGAGCACCAAGAACGACCUCAUUGCCUUCUCACGUAGUUGCCGACCAGUGCGCGCGCAUCGCCAACGCCUACGAUCUGCAACUCAUUGGGCAGCUUAGCGGGCAUGAUUCGCUGGUGUGGAAAGCCUCCUUCAAUGCGGAUGAUAGCCUGCUAUUCACAUGCUGCGAGCGGAAGAUCAUUGUGUGAGAUGGGACGUACUUCUCUUCCGUCAGAAUAUUCAUUAGCCCCGCGGUCUCGACGCCAGGGUCGUCUGCGGAUGACGUGCUGUGGACAACGGCUGUGUUCGCUUCACGAGAACACUGGCUUACUCUUCUGUCUCAAAUCCCUCGGUCAGAUGCACGUGCUGAACUGCGAUGCUGCGUGCACGAAGGAAAGCAUCAUUGAUAUCCAGAUGCGCUCCAGAGUGUACACAGCGUCAGUCUUCGUAGGCGACACAAUGGUGUGUGGAAACGGCUACGGCAACGUAUACCGCGUCUGCAUAACGUAAACACAUGUGGCGUUAGGGUGUGACGGAAGAAAAUGAUAUCACCUUUAUCUUGCACUCCCACGCACACAUUUCGUCUGUUUCUAUUGUUGUUUGCAACCCUUGUCUUUCCACCUCAG
rnacentral:misc_RNA from 1 species